rnacentral:rRNA from 1 species
UACGAAGGGGGCUAGCGUUGCUCGGAAUUACUGGGCGUAAAGGGCGCGUAGGCGGAUGGCACAGUCAGAUGUGAAAUUCCUGGGCUUAACCUGGGGGCUGCAUUUGAUACGUGUGAUCUGGAGUGAGGAAGAGGGUUGUGGAAUUCCCAGUGUAGAGGUGAAAUUCGUAGAUAUUGGGAAGAACACCGGUGGCGAAGGCGGCGACCUGGUCCUUAACUGACGCUGAGGCGCGAAAGCGUGGGGAGCAAACAGG